CGCGUAGGCGGACACUUAAGUCAGGGGUGAAAUCCCGGGGCUCAACCUCGGAACUGCCUUUGAUACUGGGUGUCUUGAGUGUGAGAGAGGUGUGUGGAACUCCGAGUGUAGAGGUGAAAUUCGUAAAUAUUCGGAAGAACACCAGUGGCGAAGGCGACACACUGGCUCAUUACUGACGCUGAGGCGCGAAAGCGUGGGGAGCAAACA
rnacentral:rRNA from 1 species